GUCGUACAGGUCUCCGUAGGUGAACCUGCGGAGGGAUCAUUACACAAAUAUGAAGGCGGGCUGGAACCUCUCGGGGUUACAGCCUUGCUGAAUUAUUCACCCUUGUCUUUUGCGUACUUCUUGUUUCCUUGGUGGGUUCGCCCACCACUAGGACAAACAUAGACCUUUUGUAAUUGCAAUCAGCGUCAGUAACAAAUUAAUAAUUACAACUUUCAACAACGGAUCUCUUGGUUCUGGCAUCGAUGAAGAACGCAGCGAAAUGCGAUAAGUAGUGUGAAUUGCAGAAUUCAGUGAAUCAUCGAAUCUUUGAACGCACAUUGCGCCCUUUGGUAUUCCAAAGGGCAUGCCUGUUCGAGCGUCAUUUGUACCCUCAAGCUUUGCUUGGUGUUGGGCGUCUUGUCUCUAGCUUUGCUGGAGACUCGCCUUAAAGUAAUUGGCAGCCGGCCUACUGGUUUCGGAGCGCAGCACAAGUCGCACUCUCUAUCAGCAAAGGUCUAGCAUCCAUUAAGCCUUUUUUUCAACUUUUGACCUCGGAUCAGGUAGGGAUACCCGCUGAACUUA
rnacentral:rRNA from 1 species